AGUCGAGCGCCUCCAAGCUAUGGUGGAGGCGCGGCGCACAGCUCAGUAACACGUGGCUAACCUGCCCUUGGGACAAGGACAACCCCGGGAAACUGGGGCUAAUCCUUGAUAUGUGAGAACUCCUGGAAUGGACUCUCGCUAAAAGGGCGUCUAUACCAUGCUUUUAGGCGUCGCCCAAGGAGGGGGCCGCGGCCGAUCAGGUUGUUGGUGAGGCAAUGGCUUACCAAGCCUUUGACCGGUACGGGCCGUGAGAGCGGUAGCCCGGAGAUGGGCACUGAGACAAGGGCCCAGGCCCUACGGGGCGCAGCAGUCGCGAAAACUCACCAAUUCACGAAAGUGUGAGUGGGUCAUCCCAAGUGCCAUCCGCUGAGGGUAGCUUUUCCCCAGUGUAUAAAGCUGGGGGAAUAAGGAGAGGGCAAGCCUGGUGUCAGCCGCCGCGGUAAUACCAGCUCUCCGAGUGGUGGGGAUGUUUAUUGGGCCUAAAGCAUUCGUAGCCUGCUUGGCAAGUCCUCCGUUAAAUCCAACGAUUCAAUCGUUGGGCUGCGGGGGAUACUGUCCGGCUAGGGGGCGGGAGAGGCCGACGGUAUCCCCGGGGUAGGGGUGAAAUCCUAUAAUCCCGGGAGGACCACCAGUGGCGAAGGCUGUCGGCUAGAACGUGCUCGACGGUGAGGGAUGAAAGCUGGGGGAGCGAACCGGAUUAGAUACCCGGGUAGUCCCAGCUGUAAACGAU
rnacentral:rRNA from 1 species